rnacentral:lncRNA from 1 species
AUGUGCUCCUCGACCGCCCGCCCGCCCGCCUGCCCGCCCGAAGCACUGGCCUUCCCUCAUCAAAGUCUGAGGUUGACUGUGAGGUUUAUGAACAUUCCCUCUAGAAGCUUGAGGAUUCUUUCUGUGGACUGCAGACUCCCAGAAGAGGCAUUUCAAGGGACAGGAGGGUUCCAAACUCCAAGCCUUCCUCAGAACAGUGUCAUCUCAGAGAUGCAUUUAUGAAAUAAGGUCUGAGGAAGGGGUGGGCAUGUGACGGGAAGAUAACCUCUUAUUCACAACCGAAGCUGCUUGUAGCUAAAAUGACCACGUUUCUUAUUAAGUUUCAAAGAUGCUAAAGAAGAAAAGGAGGAGGAAGAGGAGGAGAAGGUUUUGUGUUAGCAGGAAUCUCCAUCCCUGAGACUGGAUGAACUCCUUGGGGCUAUGUGCUUAGCUGAGGGUUCACCUCUGUGAGCUCUGACCUCUACCAAGCGGCAGAACUCAAAAACCGAACGGAGACGCCCUGAGUUAUCUGCACUGUUUCAGGAGGGAUGACUGUGGACCAAUACAUAAAUGGCAGUUGGCUUUAGAGUAUACAUUCGGCCCAGUGAUUUAUCCAAGACAACAGGCGAACAGCUUGCUAUGUACACAGCAGUUUACCUGUCCAGACUUGCUUCAGGACCCUGCUCUGUGCAGUCUACCAGCCCUAAGGUGUUAGGUUACAAAGUUGCCCAAUUUCGUCAGUUCCACCUUGAGAGACCUGCCUGGCAUCCCAUGCCCAUGCUGAAGCCAUGUAAAUAACCCUUUCCCUUCGCCCCUUCUCAGACCGCUGUCUCUCCCCGCGAUUUGGCUUUGCAGCACCAAGUGUCUGGUGAUGUUUAAGGGAGCUGCACACUGGGCAUUUUCAGUCUUACUUUCCUGCUGUGGAAUCAGGCCCCAAGAGACCAUCUCAUACUCAAUAGACUGGCAGGACCAUACUGGAAUCUACAUGUCUGUUCUCCAGGGCUGCCUUACCGCACAAGCUGAAACUUCCUUGUCUGCAACCAGAGAGGACUGCAUCGGCUCCUUGAGUCUUAAAACGCUGCCUUGCUCAAACUCUGCUAAACAAAACAAAACAAAACAAAAAAAACAACAACAAAACAAAUGGAGAGCUGGGUGUGGUAGCAUGUUCCUGUAAUUUCAGAUCUUGGAAGGAUUAGGAGUUCAAGGCCGAGCCUCCGUUCCAUAGCCAGUUAGAAAGGUGGAGGCCAGAACAGGCUGCACGAGACCCUGUCUCAUAAGAGAGACAAAAUAAGACAAAACAAAUAAAUAACAAUUAAAAAACAAGCUUAACCGUGGCUCAACCCAUCCUUUCUCUUACUCUCUCUCUCUUGUUAAAAUAAAUUUUUGUUUUACUAAGAUUUUGUUUAUUUAAAUAAAAUACAAAUAGAG